UACGUAGGGAGCAAGCGUUGUCCGGAAUCAUUGGGCGUAAAGCGCGCGUAGGUGGCCUCGUAAGUCCGCUGUGAAAGUCCAAGGCUCAACCUUGGAAAGCCGGUGGAUACUGUGAGGCUAGAGUACGGAAGAGGCGAGUGGAAUUCCUGGUGUAGCGGUGAAAUGCGCAGAUAUCAGGAAGAACACCCGUGGCGAAAGCGGCUCUCUGGAACGGUACUGACGCUGAGACGCGAAAGCGUGGGGAGCGAACAGG
rnacentral:rRNA from 1 species